AUGUCCACAGGUUUUAGUCUAAUUUAGUGGGAGGAAUAAGGAAAGGUAUCUCUACUUGAUCUUUCUGGAAAAGGAAGCCCUCUCCUUAAUUUAUAAAUAUAAAUCAGAUCAUGUUACUGACCUGUUUACAAAUUUUAAUGGCUUUUCACUGCACUUUAAGCUAGUUACCACAUAGACUUAUAAGAUCCUGUAUUCUCCAACUCCAUCCUAUUUCUCUGGCCUCUUAUGCCUUUGCCCAUUCACUGUUUCAGCCAUACUGAUUUCCUUUCUGUUCCUCAAUCGCCUCCAACUCUUUACUGCCACAAGAACUUCACCCAUGAUUUUACUUCCCCUUCUCUUGAAUAAGCUAUUUCUGAUCUUUACCUGCUUGAAUUUUUCUUCCUUUUUAAAAAAUAUAUGUAUGUAUAUAUGUAUGUAUGUAUGUAUGUAUUUUACUUGAGAGAAAUAGAGAGAGCUCAAGUGGGGGCCAUGAGACAGAGAAAAUCUCCAGCAGAUUGUGUGCUCAGUGCAGAGUUCAAUGCAGCGCUUGAUCUCAUGACCCUGACAUCAUGACCUGAGCCAAAAUCAAGAGUCACAUGCUCAACCGACUGAGCCACCCAAACCGCUCCUACUUGUAUUCUUCUAUCUUAAGACUGUGUCUAAAAGUCACCUAUUCAGAGAAAUCUUCUCUCAUCACCUUAAUGAAUUUCCUCUCUCCCUCAUUCCAACAAUUCUCUAUCACUACACCUUGUACAUUUCAUAUCAAUACUUUCUAUGAUUUGCAUUUAUGCAUUUAUAUAUAUAUUGUUUGUUUACUAGUACAGUGUACAUUUCCCACCAUGUUAUAACUCUACAGGAUCAGGAGUCAUAUCCAUUAUAUUCAUUAGUUUACCUAUGGUGCUUAGCCCAUUAUCCAAUAUACAAUUGUAUAUUACAUUGCCAUCUUAUAAUCUAGAAAGAUCCUUAUUUAUUUAUUCUUUUGGUAUACAUUCAUAUUUCUGUAUUGUGGAAUAUACCCAAAAUACCUUUGUACAUGUCUAUCAUUUAGCUAGCUACAUUAUAUCAAAAAUAUCUAUUGGUAUGCUUUGGUU
rnacentral:lncRNA from 1 species